rnacentral:sRNA from 1 species
CCCUAGCCCUGAUAGGAGCGGUAUCCUUUUAUGGCGGGGUUCGCCAUGAAAGAUACAAGCAGAUAGCAGGAAAUAGC